UACAGAGGGUGCAAGCGUUGCUCGGAAUUAUUGGGCGUAAAGGGUAGGUAGGUGGUCUCAUUUGUCGGGGGUGAAAUCCUUGGGCUUAACCCAAGAAGUGCCUUCGAAACGGUGAGACUAGAGUCCUGGAGAGGGUCGUGGAAUUCCCGGUGUAGCGGUGAAAUGCGUAGAGAUCGGGAGGAACACCAGAGGCGAAGGCGGCGACCUGGACAGGUACUGACACUCAACUACGAAAGCGUGGGGAGCAAACAGG
rnacentral:rRNA from 1 species